GAACAUAUUCUACAACUGGAAAUAGUGAUUUUCAAGUUUUCAUCAAACGGUGUUCUUCUUCCCUGCAAUGGAAUGUUGAGUUUGUGAGAGCUAGAGCCUUGCCUUGUCCUGCUUUGUUCAACAGGGAGCUAAGGAGAAAGAGGAUUUUCACCUACUCUUCUGCAUCUACUGCGUUGCCUGAAUUAGCCUCAUCUAUCUGUCAAAGUGCCCAGAAACCAUGAUGAUAGGAGCUGUGGAAAUAGAUAUCUAGCAUAUGGGAACCUGCUUAUAAUUUCUUGCUCACAGCAUUUAUCCCACAUACAGCAUUUAUCUUUAAAAGAGCAAGACUAAUG